UUUAGAAGACCAGGGAAAUGAAGUCCGCAGCAAAACAAAAGAUGUUUCAACAAUGCGCGAGGUCUGCAGAAAUAGGUCUCAUUUGUCAUUCUUGCCAUGUCUAUGUGAACGCAGAAGAGGAGUAAAAAUCAUCGCCGCUGGAAAGGGAAGUUAAACAUCACACGUUCAUUUACGUUGAGUGAUUUUGACUUCUCAGAUGUCCCUUUAAUGCAGAGCGCAGUGAUAAUUGAGGGACCCGUGUUGAGGCAGGACGGUCGCUGUAAUAACAGAGACAUCUUUUCAACACAGCAGUCAGGUCUUAAUUAUUACCUUUACAACAGCGAUCGCAGUGAAACGGGUACCAGAGGACCUAUAGCGAGAGAUGUCCCAUACAAUGGAGGCUCAGCACAGAUUCCUCAUUAGCAUAUGUCAGCCAUGUGCUUCAGAUGGCUAUUCAUUUCUGUCACUUAGCACUUGGAAGUGCUCAUGCUAAGAGCUGGUAAAUUAAAUGCUGUAUUCCUGCACUGUAACCUAAGAUUACGCUGUUGUCACUGAGCCUGUCUCCGCUAGUAGAUUACUUCUUAAAAAUAAUUUUAAAAAGGACAGGCCAAAAAGAAAAAGAAAAUAAUGUAAUGGACGAGCAAAAUGGUGCUGCUGUGGAAAUGAUUGACAGCUACAAUAUGAAUGAAAACCAAUCAGAACUAGUGGCUGACUGUUCUUUUCACCUGACAAAAACAAACAUGUUAUACUCAGACUGAUAUGAAAAUUAAAGGGAUAGUUUAUGCAGAAAUGAACAA